AAUCAACGCUGGCGGCGUGCCUCAGACAUGCAAGUCGAACGAUUAAACUUUCCUUCGGGAAAGAUAUAAAGUGGCGUACGGGUGAGUAACACGUAAGUAAUCUACCCUCGAGUGGGGAAUAACAAUCGGAAACGAUUGCUAAUACCGCAUAAUGCAGCGGCACCGUAAGGUGACAGUUGUUAAAGGAUUUAUUCGCUUGAGGAGGAGCUUGCGGCAGAUUAGCUAGUUGGUAAGGUAAUGGCUUACCAAGGCGACGAUCUGUAUCCGGUCUAAGAGGACGGGCGGUCACACUGACACUGAAUAACGGGUCAGACUCCUACGGGAGGCAGCAGUCGGGAAUUUUGGGCAAUGGGAGAAAGCCUGACCCAGCAACGCCGCGUGAAGGAUGAAGUCUUUCGGGAUGUAAACUUCGAAAGAAUAGGAAGAAUAAAUGACGGUACUAUUUAUAAGGUCCGGCUAACUACGUGCCAGCAGCCGCCGUAAAAC
rnacentral:rRNA from 1 species